GUCUACAGCCAUACCACCCUGAAUGCACCUGAUCUCAUCUGAUCUCAGAAGCUAAGCAGGGUCAGGCCUGGUUAGUACUUGGAUGGAAGACUUGGGAGUAAGAAGAAAAUCACGACA
ensembl:rRNA 5S_rRNA 5S ribosomal RNA